AGAUUGAACGCUGGCGGCAUGCCUAACACAUGCAAGUCGAACGGGAGUAGCAAUACUCUAGUGGCGGACGGGUGAGGAAUACGUAGGAAUUUGCCCUUAAGUGGGGAUAACCCGGGGAAACCCGGAUUAAUACCGCAUGACCUCGAAAGAGCAAAAGUGGGGGAUCGCAAGACCUCACGGCUUUUGGAGAAGCCUACGUCGGAUUAGCGUAGUUGGUGAGGUAAUGGCUCACCAAGGCGACGACUACCGUAACUGGUCUGGAGAGGAUGAAUCAGUCACGACCGGUAACUGAGGACCGACGGUCCGGACUCCCGUACGGGGAGGCAGUCAAGGUAGGGAAUAGUGGACAAUGGGCGACAA
rnacentral:rRNA from 1 species